rnacentral:rRNA from 1 species
AACGAACGCUGGCGGCAUGCCUAACACAUGCAAGUCGAACGAGACCUUCGGGUCUAGUGGCGCACGGGUGCGUAACGCGUGGGAACCUGCCUUUAGGUUCGGAAUAACUCAGAGAAAUUUGAGCUAAUACCGGAUGAUGUCUUCGGACCAAAGAUUUAUCGCCUUUAGAUGGGCCCGCGUUGGAUUAGCUAGUUGGUGGGGUAAAGGCCUACCAAGGCGACGAUCCAUAGCUGGUCUGAGAGGAUGAUCAGCCACACUGGGACUGAGACACGGCCCAGACUCGUAGGGGGGGAGGGAGGGGGGAAUAUGGGAAAAGGGGCGAAAGCCGGACCCAGCAAUGCCGGGGGAGUGAUAAGGGCUUUGGGGUUGAAAACCUUUUUUACCCGAGAUGAAAAGGACAGUAGGGGGAAAAAAAGCCCCGGCAAACUCCGUC